rnacentral:rRNA from 1 species
CCUACGGGAGGCAGCAGUAGGGAAUCUUCCGCAAUGGACGAAAGUCUGACGGAGCAACGCCGCGUGAACGAUGAAGGCCUUCGGGUCGUAAAGUUCUGUUGUUAGGGAAGAACAAGUGCUAGUUGAAUAAGCUGGCACCUUGACGGUACCUAACCAGAAAGCCACGGCUAACUACGUGCCAGCAGCCGCGGUAAUACGUAGGUGGCAAGCGUUGUCCGGAAUUAUUGGGCGUAAAGCGCGCGCAGGCGGUUUCUUAAGUCUGAUGUGAAAGCCCCCGGCUCAACCGGGGAGGGUCAUUGGAAACUGGGAAACUUGAGUGCAGAAGAGGAAAGUGGAAUUCCAAGUGUAGCGGUGAAAUGCGUAGAGAUUUGGAGGAACACCAGUGGCGAAGGCGACUUUCUGGUCUGUAACUGACGCUGAGGCGCGAAAGCGUGGGGAGCAAACAGGAUUAGAUACCCUGGUAGUCCACGCUGUAAACGAUGAGUGCUAAGUGUUAGAGGGUUUCCGCCCUUUAGUGCUGAAGUUAACGCAUUAAGCACUCCGCCGUCGGGGAGGUACGGUCGGCGAAGACGUAGAACGUUAAAAUUAGUAAGUUAGUACGGCGUGAGACGUGCCGACGGACGACGACGAGGGAGGUUAGG